GAUGAACGCUGGCGGCGUGCCUAAUACAUGCAAGUCGAGCGAACAGACGAGGAGCUUGCUCCUUCGACGUUAGCGGCGGACGGGUGAGUAACACGUAGGUAACCUACCUAUAAGACUGGGAUAACUUCGGGAAACCGGAGCUAAUACCGGAUAAUAUUUCGAACCGCAUGGUUCGAUAGUGAAAGAUGGCUUUGCUAUCACUUAUAGAUGGACCUGCGCCGUAUUAGCUAGUUGGUAAGGUAACGGCUUACCAAGGCAACGAUACGUAGCCGACCUGAGAGGGUGAUCGGCCACACUGGAACUGAGACACGGUCAAGACUCCUACGGGAGGCAGCAGUAAGGAAUCUUCCGCAAUGGGCGAAAGCCUGACGGGGCAACGCGGCGUGAGUGAUGAAGGGCUUCGGAUCGUAAAACUCUGUUAUUAGGGAAGAACAAACGUGUAAGUAACAGUGCACGUCUUGACGGUACCAAAGCAGAAAGCCACGGCUAACUACGG
rnacentral:rRNA from 1 species